GUUGGCCUAGUGGUUAGAGUGUCGGCCUCGGAUGUGGAAGGUCGUGGGUUAGAACCUCGGCCUAGUCGUACCA